UAGGAUGCUGCUGCUCUCCAGGAUCUGGCAUCCAGGACCCACGAACAGGAUGUGUCUUUCCUGCAGUGAUCCCACUCUUCAGCCCCUGCAGGAAGUGAAAGUUUUGCAGAGAACUUCUUAAAGAAUAUUGUGGGCCCCAGUUGUUCCAGUUUUACCUCUUCUCCUGGUCUUUUUGGAGCAGUCUAUGGCGCUGCUAGCCUACUGGGGUGGAUUGUUGCGAUGCUCCUCGGUGCGCAUGCGCAUGCACGGGAGCGGUGAAAAAUGGCGUCACCCAGUCACUCCGUUUGUUCUCCUGGAUCAGCAAUCAUGCACCAGUCCUACGUCUUCAGCUCUCAUCCACUCCCCGGUUUUCCAUUCUCCGUGACCAGGCCCCAGGCAGUACCUCCCUCCCAAGUUUUGUCUCCGAUGCAGCUGUUUUCCCUGGCCCCUUACUUCCGAAGGACUGCGGCUUUGACCCGCUCCGCCCCUCUGCGGGAGGGUCUCACGGAGCAAUGGCCGAAUGUCGGCUGCACCCAGGAGCCCCCGCUGGACCCUGCUUUUGCCGGUGCCCCGAGACUGUGACCAGGUGCCAGCCCACCCCCCCCAAAAAAUCGCAAGACAUUGUAGCCUCAGCAUUUCAGGGACCAUGAAAAAUUGCAACCCACAUCUGGCACCAGGCUUCACCCUCAACAACCUUGCCCCAGCACCAGCGAAUGUGGCUGCCUUGCGGGGUCUGCUGGGACCAGGUGGCUUCAACAGUCUCUACCAAAUGUCCUUCCUGCAGUGGAACCACUUUUCCCCGUGUGGCCCAAGAACCUCCCGGAUCCCACUCUGUUCCUGGGGAUUCACCUUUCCCGCCAGAGCACCGGCAGGUGGACUCUGAUCCUUCUGAGGUCUUGGACUGCAUGAACCAACCUGGGGAUGCCCCGGAGCCUUUAACUUGUUACCACCCCUUGCAAGUUCACCUCACCACACGCGGCUAUGUGAAGCCCCAAGCUAAGGCUGCCAGCAGCUGUAAGCAAUAUGGUCUGCGUCGUUGCUCAUGGCAGGAACUUUGAGCUGGGACACAGUUUCACUCCGUAGAUGUAUUUCUCCUCUGAGGGAAGCCUAACACCCGAGCUGACCUUGCCCCCUUCUGAAAGGGAGGGCCAUAUCUCACAGUGGCAACAGGAGGCUGCAGGUGCCACUCCAUAAGCUGCAAAGGGAGAUUUUGGCCACAAGGAGGACCGAGCAGAGACCUGAAGAUGAAAACACGGGUCUCCAUGAAGAGUGUGCCUGCUUACACACCCUUGGGAGAAGGGAGAAGUAAGUCCUGAAGGAUCUUAGUGGGUGAAGGAAGAGAAGGUGAGCUUAGUGGGCCACCCUUCACCUGCAACUCAACACUGCCUGACCUUACAAGGCUGUAAGUAAAGACUUUGUUACUCGCUGAUGGCUAAGAAAGGACUUAGGAGGCCCUGGGAAACAUCAACUGAAGUUGUAUAGCUACUUGCAGUCUUGUC